AAAAGUGAAAGCGUCUCUGCUGGACUGGCCUAGGGCGGGGUGUCACUGUUUACUCAGCAGCGCUGCUGAAUUUGGUGGAGAGAUGUCUUCAUUGAGAAGUCAGAGCUCAUGGAUUCUUUGAGAAGGUGUGAUCCUCUUCACGUGAACGCCGCGCGCGAGGCAGACCUGCUUUGUUACAUUACCUGAUUUUUUUUUCUCUUCCAUCCCGGACUUUGGCAUGAUGACAGAAUGUGAUCCGGAGCUGCGGACGUGGGUACAUGGCUGCCCAGUAAUCUUGCGCCGAUGACCGUCCUGCAGACCCUCUACUUAGUCUUGGUCUUGGGAAUCUGGAGUAAACCCAGAAAACUGCACAGAUCAAAGGGAACCGUGAGAUGUGCGUCUCUCCGCUGGUGCUCUGAUAGUAACCUGGAGAACCAUUUGAACACCGAGCUGUCUGAGUGUGUUUUGGACUACUGUGAGUGCUCACGCUGUGGCCAACUUACAGGAGAUUGAUCGCGUGCUUACCAAAAUGGAAACGGACCAAAUAUUUAAUAAAUCAGAUGCCUCAUUGUAUGUACCAGAUGAAAAUACUUACCUAAUGGAAUGCAGCAAUGAAUUAAUGUACUGCUACCUGCUGGAGUUAUACGUCAUCGCAUAUGAAGAAAAGGCUAGUGAGAACAGCCUUCAGGUCAUACACACCAAUAAAGGCACAUAUAAAGAGCUUACUGAAGAUCGGAAGUCUUCAAAUCAUCAUGUAUGUCCAGAAUGUGAAAACCACCAAGUCAACUCCACGGUGUUCUUAAAAAGGAUGAAGACAUUUAUUAAAACACUGCAAUCGAUUCCAGACUAAUUAGUGCACUCAUUCCUACACCAGAGCCUUGAUGUAAAUAAGCUCCUUUUACUUUUAGCAUGUAUUAUAGACUGUGUAUUAAUGUCAAUAUUUAUGAACAUAGAGGCCUAUAUUGUACACUUCUUAUUCCUAACCUCAAAUGUGUUAAUUCGAUCCAUUUUGUAUUUUAACUACAAAUUAUUUUUAUAUGUAUUUUUUUAUAUUAUACAAGACUCAUUUCUGUAAAUAUUUCAUUCAGUUGAAUGUAGGGAAAUGAGGAAGCUAGAGAAAAAGUGUCUUAAUGUACCUGUGUCUCUUCCAGAGCUCUUAAAUACUUUGUUAACAACUUAGUUAAAGGCAAAAAAGGUUUAAUGGCAAAUUAAAUACCUUUGGUAUUGCAUAUAACACUCCUAACUCUGCCUGUAACUGAACAUGAGGUAAGCUGGAAUAAGUUUUUUUUGUGACUUUUAUUUUGUAUGUGAAGCUUUUUUUUUGUUGUUAUAUAGCCUCUGGUAUGUAAAGUGCUCUUUUUUUUGUCCAGUAAAACCAAAAAUAUAGUACUGUGCAAAACCUAAGCAUUUUAUAAAUUUAUCUUAAAACAUUAUUUAAUGGGUGCUAAGCAUUUGUUUGAUGAGAAAAAUACUAAUAUUAAAGUAGAAACAGUUGACGUAGAAAAGUAUUAGAUUUAUGUAUAAAAGGCCCUGUUCACACCUGGCAUUAAUAGACCACUGAAGUCAUGCGUCAUUCUGUAGUCCUUGUACGGCUUUCGUGUCUAAGCGGUUUUUCCCUAUAAGGAAAAUGAAUAGGCUUUUCAAAAACCCGCCUCUGACACAUUCUGUGGUAAAUAAAUCUGAUUACACCCCUGUA